GCGCGAAAACUUUGCAAUGCGAGCAAUCGUGACAAGGGAACUCCGAGUGCCUGUAAAAUCAGGCUGUCCGCCAGUGUAAAUAACUGGCGAAGAAAGGGCCGGGCAAGACCGGUGCCAGCCGCCGCGGUAAUACCGGCGGCUCGAGUGGUGGCCACUAUUACUGGGCUUAAAGCGUUCGUAGCUGGCCUGUUAAGUCUCUGGGGAAAUCUUCCGGCUUAACCGGAAGGCGUCUCAGGGAUACUGGCAGGCUAGGGACCGGUAGAGGUGAGGGGUACUCCAGGGGUAGGAGUGAAAUCCUGUAAUCCUUGGGGGACCACCUGUGGCGAAGGCGUCUCACCAGAACGGCUCCGACAGUGAGGAACGAAAGCUGGGGGAGCAAACC
rnacentral:rRNA from 1 species